rnacentral:rRNA from 1 species
AUUGAACGCUGGCGGCAUGCCUUACACAUGCAAGUCGAACGGCAGCGCGGACUUCGGUCUGGCGGCGAGUGGCGAACGGGUGAGUAAUGCAUCGGAACGUACCUUUCAGUGGGGGAUAACGUAGCGAAAGUUACGCUAAUACCGCAUAUUCUGUGAGCAGGAAAGCAGGGGAUCGCAAGACCUUGCGCUGAUUGAGCGGCCGAUGUCAGAUUAGCUAGUUGGUAAGGUAAAGGCUCACCAAGGCGACGCUCUGUAGCGGGUCUGAGAGGAUGAUCGGCCACACUGGGACUGGGAAAAGGCCCGGACUCCUACGGGAGGCAGCAGUGGGGAAUUUUGGACAAUGGGGGCAACCCUGAUCCAGCCAUGCCGCGUGAGUGAAGAAGGCCUUCGGGUUGUAAAGCUCUUUCGGCCGGGAAGAAAUCGCAUGGGUUAAUACCCUGUGUGGAUGACGGUACCGGAAUAAGAAGCACCGGCUAACUACGUGCCAGCCGCCGCGGUAAUAC